GAGCCGCACUCGGGUGUAUCGUUUAUGAAAGGGAGUUAAUUCGAGUUGUCUUCUUCAACAUUUAAGUCGGUCAACAACUUGUUUACAUUUUCAGUGAUUUUACCAAAAUUAAGUUACGAGACUUCAUGAUGGAUUGAUUAAUAGUCAACUGAUAGGUAAAAGAAGAAUAGGGCACGCACAGGUUUAACAAGCAGGAGCUGGAAUAUAAUACUUUCUGCUAGUAUACUGUGAGGCUAUAGUAUGUUGUGAGGAAUAGUCAUUGAGCAGACGACAUUCAAAAAUGACAGUCAAGGAAGAAAUCAGCAAGUUCACUCACGAGAUUGAGGAGGUGUUCCAUGAAGUUGAGGAAGUUUUUAAUGAUGUCAAAGAACACAUGAUUCUGUCCGUACGGGACUACAGCGUCCAAAUAGCGUUUGUUCUUAUGGGUAUUACGUCAGCAAUUCUGUUGAUUGGUACUUUAUACGUCUGGUGUUUCCAUCAUCCAAAACACCCUCACCCGGAAGAUUCGGAUCAUAAUGAAACACCCUCAUCGGAUAAAUCGGAACUUCCAAAUCAUCAACAUUCGGAAAACUUGGAUUCUACGAAAAUUCAAAGAACUGCCGGAGAAAAAAUAGCAGACGAUAAUCAUGAGGAAGUUUUAGAUAACGUUGAAAAGACAGGAGAAGGAGGCGUUGAGAAGUCUGAACAAAACGGCCAAGUAAGAAAAAGAGCUACAAGUUCCAGUGUGAAUAAUAAUAAUAGUCCUGUAAAAUCCAAAAUUCCAGUUAGACAAAAAAGCAGAACUUCCUCUGAUUAAGAUGCCCUGUCAUGGUCAAUGUGGAUAAAACGUUUAAUAUUGCCUCGUCCUGACUAAGAUGCUUGGUUAUCAUGGAAACGCAUUUUAAGGUUGACUCGGCCUCAUUAAGGUGAUAAGCAUUUUAAGGUUGUUGCUUACGGUACUUUUGUUGGAGAAAAUUUCAUGAAAUAAUGACGGGUAUCCAUUGACUUAUGCAAAGCUUUUAUAAAUGAAGUAUGUUAAGCAUUUUGCAAGUUAAAUUGUCAGUUCAGAUGUUAAACUUUUACCAGUUUUUAGCUUGACUUUUCGAAGAAAAAGUAGAGCUAUUGCGCUCGUCCCGACGUCGGCGUCGGCGUCACCGUUGGUUAAAGUUUUUGAUAAAGUCAAAUAUCUCUGUUACUAUCAAAGAUAUGGACUUGAAACUUAAAAUAGUUAUUUACUAUCAAAGUCUACACCAGGAGAAACAAUCCCCAUAACUCUGGUUUGAAUUUUGACAGAAUUACGCCCCUUUUUAACUAAGAAUUUUUGGUUAAAGUCUUUGAUUAAGUCAAUAUCUCUGUUACUAUCAAAGCUAUUGACUUGAAGCUUAAAAUAGUUAUUUACUACCAAAGUCUACACCAGGAGAAACAAUCCCCAUAACUCUGAUUUGAAUUUUGACAGAGUUAUGCCCCUUUUUAACAUAGAAUUUUCGGUUAAAGUUUUUGAUAAAGUCAAAUAUUUCUGUUACUAAAAAAGCUAUUGACUUGAAACUUAAAAUAGUUAUCUAUAAUCAAAGUCUUCACCAAGAGAAACAAUCCCCAUAACUUUGAUUGAAUUUUGAUGGAGUUAUGCCCCUUUUUAACUUAGAAUUUUUGGUCAAAGUUUUUUAUUAAAAGUCAAAUAUCUCUGUUACUAUCAAAGCUAUUGACUUGAAACUUAAAAUAGUUAUUUAUUAUCAAAGUCAACAUCCGGAGAAACAAUCCCCAUAACUCUGAUUUGAAUUUUGAUGGAUUUUUUGCCCCUUUUUGACUUAGAAUUUUUUUGUUUAAGUUUCUGAUAAAGUCAAAUAUCUCUGUUACUAUCAAAGCUAUUGACUUGAAACUUAAAAUAGUUAUUAACUAUCAAAGUGUUCACUUGGAGAAACAAACCCCAUAACUUUGAUUUGAAUGUUGUCAGAGUUAUGCCCCUUUUUAACUUAGAAUGUUUGUUUAAAGUUUAAUAAAGUUUUUACUGGCAAAGCUCUAAUUUUGAGUCAAGCACUGAGAAAAGUCGAGCGCGCUGUCUUACGGACAGCUCUUGUUAAUUGUUAAUUUGGUUCAUUAUGAACUACACUUAUUACCAAACUGUUAUUUUUAAAGUUAACUGGUUUUACCUCGGACUUUCGUAUACCUGACCCUAAGAUAGUAUCCCAUAUGUGUACGUUGUUUCCUGUAAGCAGUAAGCCCUUCGUCCAAAAAGAAAUCGUACAACGUUCGAGUGGCGGGCACCUGUAUUUGUUUUUCUUUUCAGCGCUGGAAAAUAAACAUUUACUUACAUGUACCAUUCGUUUUACAAAAUGGAAAGAGCGUAUAUAAGGUAAUGGGCUCGUAAAGACUGUCGGCAUUUUCCGUUAGAAUACGUAUUUUCCGGUUGUUAUGAGAAAGCAGUUUCUGUUAUGACCGAAUAGUGCCGAAGUGGCAUACGAGGAUACGUAAAUUGUAUGGAAAUUUCCGCCGUGUCAGUGCCGGUCCAUUACCUUAACAGUAAGAAAAAAGUAGUUAUUGGCAAUAAACGGUUAAUUAUUUUAUAUCCAGCUUAGGUUUUGAAAUGUUUUCCAUAUUUUAUUGCUGCAUUAAAUCGUUUAAAUGAGUGAUGUCCCAUUCUAUAAUUUAUUUCAUCAUGAUAAAACUGCUCAAAAAUUAAUCUACCUUAUAACUUUAUUCUUCGUUUUUAAAGAUGUCUAUUUUAUAACAUUUUCUGAAAGUAACUAUUUUCUUGUAUAUAUAACAACAUGUUGUUGUCCCAGAUAGCGUUAAGUAUUUUGUCGUUUUCUGAUACACCCGUAUGUUCAGUGCAGUUUGUGUCAAAAUACCAUUAUGAAUUGUACCCUGGUCACAAGAACUCUACGAGCUCCGAACGAGUAGGUUUUCAGUCGAAUUUUUGCUGCCAAAACUCGUCGGCGUCCGUAUGGACAUCAUUGACUUGUACGAGCGUCGUACGGAUUUUUUUGAAUUCGUAGAGGACUCGAGAAGUCGGUGAACAUCUACGACCUCGUAGGGAUUUUCGAAGUCGGGAGCAGCUCGCAAGAGCCCCGUACGGGAACCGCACGGGCCCCGGAAGAGCACGUACGGGCAUCGCACGAUGUCCGUGCGGAUUUGGAAAACUGCGAGUCUUGCCGAUGCUCGCACGACUAUCGCAGGGGACUCGCACUCGUUACGAUCGCCAUACGGGCUCCGUACGACUUCCUUGGUGAUUCAAGCUCCUUGCGAGCUCAGCACGACUUGUCUGCGAUGUCCGUACAGAUAUCCUACGAUUGCAUCCACUAAAGAUCGUACGGGGCCCGUAGGUACUGUGACCAGACGCUACGAUUGUACAGAGACCGUAAGGAUUCUAAAAUUGGUGGACUCGUACGAUUUUUAGCUCGACUAUUCGAAGAAUAAGUAGAGCUAUCCUACUCACCAUGGCGUCGGCGUCGGCGUCGGCGUCACACUUUGGUUAAGAUUUUCGUACCAGUCCACAUUUUGACAAAGUCUUUUGAGAUAAAGCUUUGAAACUUUCAACACUUGUUUACCAUCAUCAUGGCCAGUUAUAGGCAAGAGCACAUAACUCCAUCAAGGAUUUUGGCUGAAUUAUGGCCCCUUUUGACUUAGAAAUCAUGGUUAAGUUUUUCGUACCAGUUUAUAUUUUGACAAAGUCUUUAAAGAUAAAGCUUUGAAACUUUCAACACUUGUUUACCAUCACCAUGUCCAGUUAUAGGCAAGAGCACAUAACUCCAUCAAGGAUUUUGGCAGAAUUAUGGCCCUUUUUGACUUAGAAAUCUGGGUUAAUAUUUCGUACCAGUUCAUAUUUUGACAAAGUCUUUUGAGAUAAAGCUUUGAAACUUUCAACACCUGUUUACCAUCACCAUGUCCAGUUAUAGGCAAGAGUACAUAACUCCAUCAAGGAUUUUGGCUGAAUUAUGGCCUCUUUUGACUUAGAAAUCUUGGUUAAGUUUUUCGUACCAGUUCAUAUUUUUUGUAAAGUGUUUGACAUAUGGCUUUGAAACUUUUAUCACUUGUUUAGUAUAAUAGUCUCUAUCUGUAGGAAAGAGAACAUAACUCUGUCAUCUAUUUUGGCUGAAUUACGGUCCUUUUUGGACUUUGAAAUUGGUUCUGUUUUCAUACAAGUCCAUGUUUUGUCAAAACUAAUGGCUUUUAAACUUCGAACACUUGUUUAUCAUUAUGAUUUCCAUCUGUAGGCAAGAGUACAUAACUAUUUUGACUGAAUUAUGGCCCUUUUUGGACUUUGAAAUUGGCUCAUAUAUUGCGAUUUAGUGCAAGACUUAUCGAAAUCAAAGUAAUACAGGAACAUUGUUAGUCUAAUCUAUUUAUUUCUUUUGUCUGAAUAUCCGUGGGAAUAUUUUGACCCCAUUCUUCAAUCAAUUCUUCGAAUAGUCGAGCGCGCUGUCAUCAGACAGCUCUUGUUUAAAACCGAACGGACAUCGUACGGUUUUGUGACCGAGGCAUUAAUGUGCCUUUACAUUGUAUUUUCAAUUCUCAUGCAUAAUAGAACUGUGUACGGGUACAUCUUCAGGAAACACACACUAUUUAUGAUAUCAGAAAAUCCAUUCUUAAACCAUUCCUUAUCUGUUUUACAUGUCCUAUACAGCAUAGAUCUGAAUGUUACAGCUGACUCGAAAGAUUUAUUAAUGUUAUUUUCGAUUCACUACAUCAAAGGGAUUUGUGUAUGUAUAAAUUGCUAAGUGCUUGUCUACUUGAUUUCUUUCAUGUUUGUUGACACUGCUUGUUUAUAUUAACACUGUCUUAGGGUAGAAAGGAACACAUAAACACCUUACAAAACUUCUUGUUCUUCAUAUGUUUUAUUAUAAUAUUCUUAAAAGUGGGAAAAUGUACAUUGUCUGAACUUUUGCAAAGUUAAAAAAGAGUGAAUGUUUAAGAAGCAAAGGUCUUGUGUAAAAUUAAAUUCUUUUGGGUAUUGAUUUAUUGUCUUAGAACUUAAGAGGCGUUCCAUAUGACAAUGUUAAGGCUGCCUGUUGUGUUGGAUCUCAGUUUUUAGCAAUUAUGUCUCCUGUUAUGUGUUCCAAUUGUUUUUAUUUUUGUCAUUUUAUUGUAUUAUUGCAACUGGGCAAUACAUUGAAAUAUAUGAAUAGCAAUAACAUAUAUCUUUGAUUAUAAAUGAUAUUUUUGACAUUAGCAUGAUGAUGUACUCAUAAUUAUUCACAGAAGACUACAUAAUGAUUUAAUGUAGUAGACCAGUAAUGACACUCGGCAAUUUCCGUGUAGUUGCAUAUUCACGUGAGGCAAUUCGGCAUUCUUCGGACUUAAUUAUAGGUUACAUUCUACCAAUUCAAUUCCUUAUUGAUUUCAUAUUAAUAACAAAACAUUCAGACCUCAUUUUCAGCACUUUAGAGCAUUUCAUUGAUAUGAAAACCAUAUAUGGUCAUUUAGUAUAACAUGUCUUCUUAUCAAAAAUAGAAAAAUGUUGACAUGUUAUGUUGUAUAUAAGAAAAAUAAUCUGUUCUGAGAAACAUCUCUAAAACCCUCUAAAAAUGCCCCCAUGAAAACACCCGUUAGCAAUGACGCGUAGAUAGACAUUUUUCGCAAAGAAUAAAACUUAUUCCAGGAAAUUCACAAUGAAUAUGGUCUAGAUCUUUUCUCAAUACAAUAAGCAAUAAAAAAUAAGCCAAAAGUUUAACUGUCACCUCCUCAUGUCACUCAUUAUACCAGAUUUCAUUCAUAGCAUCACGGGUGGUAAACGCGCAACCCAAUUCCCGCCGGGAAUACGCUUAAAAUGGGUUGCGCGACUUCCGGUGCUGGUGUUGCGCGUAAAAAUAGACGAAAUUGAGAUAUGUGAAGUCAUGAUUUUGCUUCGUAUGAGACAAAAAUAUUUUUUCUCGAAAAAAGGAAAAUGCUAUUCGACACAAGUAUGAUGAUACAUCGUAUAUAUAAAAUAUCUGGUUUGUAAUUUAUGAUUCGGCUCUGUUAUCACAAAAACUCUGGCGGCACGAAGUGUGAAAAAAGUAUGAAAUCAACAAAAAUGGAAGUUUCGACCUCAUAUACUUAAUCUGAGGACAUCUGAUGCUUUUUAUGUUAACUCAACUGUUAUAUAGUAACGAAUAUCAAAAUUAUUUGCUUCAAAUCCUGCUUACAGGGACAUAAUUGACAAAAAAAUCAU